GACGAACAAGGAAAGAAAUUAAGAAAGAACCACUUAUUAUGGCAGCAGAUGUUGUCCUCCAAGUGAUAGCAGAUUCAGUAUGGAAGGAGCUUAGAAAGUACCUCACCAGGCCUGAGCAGAUGGUGUUCAACAGUAUACAAAAUGAGCCACUCAUGAAGUAUAUUGCUUCUGAUGAAAUUUGCAAGAAGGAAGAUACACAGACCAAGAGAGAGACAGAGCACGAGC